rnacentral:tRNA from 1 species
AGGGAGAUGGCUAAGUGGGUAAGAGUGCUUGUUUCAUAAGCAUGAGGACCUGAGUUCAAAUCCCCAGCAUCCAUA